rnacentral:rRNA from 1 species
AUUGAACGCUGGCGGCAUGCUUUACACAUGCAAGUCGAACGGUAACAGGUUAAGCUGACGAGUGGCGAACGGGUGAGUAAUGUAUCGGAACGUGCCCAGUCGUGGGGGAUAACGUAGCGAAAGCUACGCUAAUACCGCAUACGAUCUGUGGAUGAAAGCGGGGGACCGUAAGGCCUCGCGCGAUUGGAGCGGCCAAUAUCAGAUUAGGUAGUUGGUGGGGUAAAGGCCCACCAAGCCAACGAUCUGUAGCUGGUCUGAGAGGACGACCAGCCACACUGGGACUGAGACACGGCCCAGACUCCUACGGGAGGCAGCAGUGGGGAAUUUUGGACAAUGGGGGCAACCCUGAUCCAGCAAUGCCGCGUGCAGGAAGAAGGCCUUCGGGUUGUAAACUGCUUUUGUACGGAACGAAAAGGCUCUGGUUAAUACCUGGGGUUUAUGACGGUACCGUAAGAAUAAGCACCGGCUAACUACGUGCCAGCCGCCGCCGUAAUAC